CGGGGUGUAGCGCAGCCCGGUAGCGCGCCUGGUUUGGGACCAGGAUGUCGUAGGUUCGAAUCCUAUCACCCCGACCA
rnacentral:tRNA from 1 species